CUUCUGCCACUUGGACAUCAUCUGGGUGAACACUCCUGAUUCAAGUGCUGAGGCUCAGAGAGCUUAAGCGCCUCCCCCAAGAUCACACAACAGACAGCUCCUUACGGCCUGGGAAACCCGCCAAGACGCCGGCGCCGCUCCCUGCCAAGGCGCUGUCAGUGCUCCAGUGCCAGGGACCCCGCCUGUGCCACCUUCUGCCUUCGAAGGCCCUGACUGAAGCCGGGGCAGUCCCAAGCCGGAAGUCCCCUGCAGACGUGUUCCAGACUGGCAAGACAGGGGCCACUACAGGAGAGCUUCUCCAAAGGCUGAGGACAUUUCCACAGUCAAGAGCCUCUUUGCCAAGCGACAACAGGAGGC
rnacentral:lncRNA from 1 species